CCAAAAAAAUAAAACUAACUCGGAAAACCAUCGGUGCUCGGGCGAAAUCUUCCUACAUUCCCUCACAUGCAGGCUCAUCUGACACCAACACUGUUUUUCCCUCAUCACAUGAUAUUUGUACUGAAAACUCAAAGGAAGAAGGGACCGCGUAUACCAGGGCAAAAAGGAAGGAGCUGAGCCUAUGGGAUACACUAAAAGAUCAGGUCUUGGAAGAGUCCUAUAAGUCCUCCGCUCCUUUCUCUGACAUGUACUCUGUGUGCAAGAAACCUGGAGUAUACCGCUGUCUGGAAUGCAGCAGAAGCAGUGUUUUUUGCAAGGAUUGUGUCUACACAGUACACAUAAAUUCUUUGCACCUCCCUGAAAAGUGGAAUAAAACCUGCUAUGAGGCUGCUUUCCAGCAGUUGGUGUUGCAUUUAAGUGGGGAUCACAGUACCCAUGUUGUUUACUCCAGAGAUGUAAAGACUUUUGUCAACACAGGUCAUCUCAUUAAUUGCACAGUUUCUUUUUGUAAAUGCGAACCUGAGGUCUGCACUCUUCUGAAGUAUGGCCUUUGGCCUGCUUCACCGGAGAAGCCACAGGCUGCUUUUUCAAUGGCUCUUCUUGAGCUAUUUGUCCAUCUUUCUUUGGAGUGCCAGGUCUCUGUAGAGGGAUUCAUCAACACCUUACGGUGGAAAAACAAUCUUACUGUUAUGGAGGUUAAUAUGCUGUACAGAGCCCUAGUAGGAGAGUCUAUUUCCCAGUUUCGCCAUUAUCACUUCCGACAAAGGUCACUAGUUGGCCUUUGUGACCAAUUUGAUGAUGGCACAGUGUGCCCGGCAUGCAUAAAGACUGAUGGCACUGUAAUUGUGGCUUUGGAUGCCAACUUUGGCCUCGUACGACAAAAGAGCUCUGGAAGUAGUAUCACUGAGCCAUUGCAGGGUAACAGAAUGUUUGUCAGGUAUGAAGAUGUUGAAGAGUAUGUCAGGUCAAAUCCUGACAACUGUCAACCAACAGAGAACUGUAGCAAGUUUAAAGCUGGCAAUGCACUUCGUUCCCAAAACCAGCAAAAAAAAUUAGACAUAACUGGUGUAUUUGGAGCAUCAUGUCGCCACGAGGUUCCACUGAUAUUUCUUAACAUGACACAUGGAGAAAGACUUGCAUAUCCUAAAUAUGUCAUCACAGAGCUGAUGAAAAAAUAUAAAGAAAAAAAACAUUAAUCUGCAUGUCAUUUAUGACAUUGCAUGUGUCCUGUCCAGACAUUUCCGUAAAACUGGAGAAGGAAUCCCAAAAGGACUUUCCCUGGCGGUACCAGCAUUUCAUGUGUAUGGGCAUAAACUGCAGUGUCAGAUCAUGUACAGCACGCGACGAGUUCCUGGAUUUGGACUAACAGAUGGUGAAUGCAUGGAGAGGUUAUGGUCGUUUUUGAGAAUAUUUUCUCGAGUGACUAAAGAGACGACUCCCUCCCAUCGCCUUGACCUUCUCAUAGACGCACUCCUGUACUAUGGUAGAAGAAAAUCUGCAGAUCUAGAUGUGCAGCUUCUUCAGAGGUGGGACAAAGCCGAGAAGAUUGCGAGUAUUGCUGAGGAAGAGAUUUCUGCAGUUUUGAAAGAGUCACCGAUAAGCAUUUCUGAACAUGACCUACAACAAUGGAUGGAAACACAGAGACAUGUAGCCCAAGCUGCACAUUUAAAAACUAGAGACAAAGAGAUUGUUCCAAGAUGGAAGAGGAACUAUGUGAUGAAGCUGACCGAAAUCAACCAGCUCAGAUCCGGAUCACAUAAACAGGAGUCACUCAUUGAAGAUG